GUCUCUUCGGAGACAUCUGAUAAAACUGGAACGAUACUGAAAUGAUUGUCCCUCGGUAGGAUGAUACCUCACACCCAAAAAUUUUAGCAAUUUGU
rfam:Arabis alpina cultivar Pajares scaff_52775_1_contig_0, whole genome shotgun sequence.